rnacentral:rRNA from 1 species
UGCGGAGGAUGCGAGCGUUAUCCGGAUUUAUUGGGUUUAAAGGGUGCGUAGGCGGAUCGUUAAGUCAGUGGUCAAAUUGAGGGGCUCAACCCCUUCCCGCCAUUGAAACUGGCGCUCUUGAGUGGAAGAGAAGUAUGCGGAAUGCGUGGUGUAGCGGUGAAAUGCAUAGAUAUCACGCAGAACCCCGAUUGCGAAGGCAGCAUGCCGGCUUCCGACUGACGCUGAAGCACGAAAGCGUGGGGAUCGAACAGG